rnacentral:rRNA from 1 species
CUUGGUGACAAUAGCGUUUUGGACCCACCUGACCCCAUGCCGAACUCAGUAGUGAAACGAAACAGCGCCGAUGAUAGUGUAGC